UUCCUUGCUGAGGCACGCGCCUUGGUAACUGCGCUGAAACUAGAACCAGGUCUUUCUAAUCCUCAAACAGUUGCUUUUCCCUCCUUCCUCUGUCAGCAGCUCUCUGUUCUGCUGAGCACAACAGAGCACAGGAUGAAGAGGGUCAAGUAAUCCUGGGAAGUUCUGGUGACAAUGACAACAGACUGGGCUCAUUCAAGCAAGUGUUCUUAAAUCCCAAGAGAAGGAGAAACAUCACUAAGCUUCCUCCCGGCAGAGAAAAGGCUGUUGAACAAAGAAGAGAUCAGGACAGAUACCAGACUUUGCACUUGCAAUUCUGGAAGCUGGAAAACAGAAAAAUCUACAGAGGUUGAGAAAAUGGGAGACAUUAUUUAAAUGUGAGAAAAGAGAAAGCAGUUCUUAUACA